AUGGUUGUCGUCAGCUCGUGUCGUGAGAUGUUGGUUAAGUCCGCAACGAGCGCAACCCUCGACCUUAGUUGCCAGCAUUCAGUUGGGCACUCUAAGGUGACUGCCGGCUAAAAGUCGGAGGAAGUGGGGAUGACGUCAAAUCAUCAUGCCCCUUAUGACCUGGGCUACACACGUGCUGCAAUGGGCGGUACAAAGGGUCGCGAACCCGCGAGGGGGAGCCAAUCCCAAAAAGCCGCUCUCAGUUCGGAUUGCAGGCUGCAACUCGCCUGCAUGAAGCCGGAAUCGCUAGUAAUCGCGGAUCCGCAUGCCGCGGUGAAUACGUUCCCGGGCCUU
rnacentral:rRNA from 1 species